rnacentral:rRNA from 1 species
AUUGAACGCUGGCGGCAUGCUUUACACAUGCAAGUCGAACGGUAACAGGUUAAGCUGACGAGUGGCGAACGGGUGAGUAAUGCAUCGGAACGUGCCCGGUCGUGGGGGAUAACGCAGCGAAAGCUGCGCUAAUACCGCAUACGAUCUGAGGAUGAAAGCGGGGGACCGUAAGGCCUCGCGCGAUCGGAGCGGCCGAUGUCAGAUUAGGUAGUUGGGGGGGUAAAGGCUCACCAAGCCAACGAUCUGUAGCUGGUCUGAGAGGACGACCAGCCAGACUGGGACUGAGACACGGCCCAGACGCCUACGGGAGGCAGCAGUGGGGAAUUUUGGACAAUGGGCGAAAGCCUGAUCCAGCAAUGCCGCGUGCAGGAAGAAGGCCUUCGGGUUGUAAACUGCUUUUGUACGGAGCGAAAAGGUCUCCUCUAAUACAGGGGGCUCAUGACGGUACCGUAAGAAUAAGCACCGGCUAACUACGUGCCAGCCGCCGCCGUAA